rnacentral:rRNA from 1 species
CGGCGGACGGGUGAGUAACGCGUGGGUAACCGUACCUCAUACAGGGGGAUAACAGUUGGAAACGGCUGCUAAUACCGCAUAAGCGCACAGUACCGCAUGGUACCGUGUGAAAAACUCCGGUGGUAUGAGAUGGACCCGCGUCUGAUUAGCUAGUUGGUGGGGUAACGGCCUACCAAGGCGACGAUCAGUAGCCGACCUGAGAGGGUGACCGGCCACAUUGGGACUGAGACACGGCCCAA